rnacentral:rRNA from 1 species
UACGAAGGGGGCUAGCGUUGCUCGGAAUCACUGGGCGUAAAGGGUGCGUAGGUGGCGCUGUAAGUCAGGUGUGAAAUUUCGGAGCUCAACUCCGAAACUGCAUUUGAUACUGCGGUGCUUGAGGACUGGAGAGGAGACUGGAAUUCACGGUGUAGCAGUGAAAUGCGUAGAUAUCGUGAGGAAGACCAGUGGCGAAGGCGGGUCUCUGGACAGUUCCUGACACUGAGGCACGAAGGCCAGGGGAGCAAACGGG